rnacentral:rRNA from 1 species
CCCGCUGAACUUAAGCAUAUCAAUAAGCGGAGGAAAAGAAACCAACAGGGAUUCCCCUAGUAACGGCGAGUGAAGCGGGAACAGCUCAAAUUUGAAAUCUGGCCCUCGGGUCCGAGUUGUAAUUUGUAGAGGAUGCUUUUGGUGCGGUGCCUUCCGAGUUCCCUGGAACGGGACGCCUUAGAGGGUGAGAGCCCCGUACGGUUGGACGCCUAGCCUCUGUAAAGCUCCUUCGACGAGUCGAGUAGUUUGGGAAUGCUGCUCUAAAUGGGAGGUAAAUUUCUUCUAAAGCUAAAUACCGGCCAGAGACCGAUAGCGCACAAGUAGAGUGAUCGAAAGAUGAAAAGCACUUUGAAAAGAGGGUUAAAUAGCACGUGAAAUUGUUAAAAGGGAAGGGUUUAUGACCAGACUUGUGUCUGGGGGAUCAUCCGGUGUUCUCACCGGUGCACUUCCCCCAGUUGAGGCCAGCAUCGGUUUUCGGAGGGGGAUAAAAGCUUCGGGAAUGUGACUCCCUCGGGAGUGUUAUAGCCCGUUGCAUAAUACCCUUCUGGGGACCGAGGUUCGCGCAUCUGCAAGGAUGCUGGCGUAAUGGUGAUCAACGACCCGUCUUGAAACACGGACCAAGGAGUCGAACAUUUAUGCGAGUGUUUGGGUGUCAAACCCUCACGCGUAAUGAAAGUGAACGGAGGUGAGAGCCCUUUACGGGUGCAUCAUCGACCGAUCCUGAUGUCUUCGGAUGGAUUUGAGUAAGAGCAUAAAUGUCCGGACCCGAAAGAUGGUGAACUAUGCGUGGAUAGGGUGAAGCCAGAGGAAACUCUGGUGGAGGCUCGCAGCGGUUCUGACGUGCAAAUCGAUCGUCAAAUCUGCGCAUGGGGGCGAAAGACUAAUCGAACC